GGAUUGCCCCAGUAACGGCGAGUGAAGCGGCAACAGCUCAGAUUUGAAAUCUGGCCCCCGUACCGCGCGGGCCCGAGUUGUAAUCGUGAGAGGAUGCUUUUGGCGAGGCGCCUUCCGAGUUCCCUGGAACGGGACGCCGCAGAGGGUGAGAGCCCCGUCGGGUCGGCCGCCUAGCCUCCACACAAAGCUCCUUCGACGAGUCGAGUAGUUUGGGAAUGCUGCUCUAAUGGGGAGGUAUAUGUCUUCCAAAGCUAAAUACCGGCCAGAGACCGAUAGCGCACAAGUAGAGUGAUCGAAAGAUGAAAAGCACUUUGAAAAGAGAGUUAAACAGUACGUGAAAUUGUUGAAAGGGAAGCGCUCAUGACCAGACUUGGGCCGGGCGGAUCAGCCGGCGGUCCUCCGCCGGCGCACUCCGCCGGGUCCAGGCCAGCAUCAGUUCGCGCCGGGGGACAAAGGCGGCGGGAACGUGGCUCCCCCAGGGGAGUGUUAUAGCCCGCCGCGCAAUGCCCCGGGGCGGACUGAGGCCCCGCGCGUCUCGACGCAAGGAUGCUGGCGUAAUGGUCAUCAGUGACCCGUCUUGAAACACGGACCAAGGAGUCGUCCUCGUGUGCGAGUGUUCGGGUGUCAAACCCCUACGCGCAAUGAAAGUGAACGCUGGUGAGAGCCUCGGCGCAUCACCGACCGAUCCUGAUGUCCUCGGAUGGAUUUGAGUAGGAGCACACGGGGCCGGACCCGAAAGAAGGUGAACUAUGCCUGUAUAGGGUGAAGCCAGAGGAAACUCUGGUGGAGGCUCGCAGCGGUUCUGACGUGCAAAUCGAUCGUCAAAUAUGGGCAUGGGGGCGAAAGACUAAUCGAACCUUCU
rnacentral:rRNA from 1 species